rnacentral:misc_RNA from 1 species
AAGUCGUAACAAGGUUUCCGUAGGUGAACCUGCGGAAGGAUCAUUACCUAGAGUUGUAGGCUUUGCCUACCAUCUCUUACCCAUGUCUUUUGAGUACCUUCGUUUCCUCGGCGGGUCCGCCCGCCGCAUUGGACAAAUCGUAAACCUUUACUGUAAUUGAAAUCAGCGUCUGAAAAACAUAAUAGUUCCAA